rnacentral:lncRNA from 1 species
UGGACCACCAGGUGUAACAGGACCACCAGGACCCAUGGGUCCUCCAGGACUACCGGGGUUGAAGGGAGAUCCAGGCAGGAAGGGAGACAAGGGUCAUGGAGGUCUGAUUGGGCUGAUAGGCCCUCCAGGAGAGUUUGGAGAGAAGGGAGACAGAGGAUUUCCAGGGAACCAGGGUCUACUGGGACCCAAAGGAGACGAGGGUCUGGUUGGUCUAGCAGGUCCUAAUGGUCCUCCAGGUCUACCUGGUCUCUCUGGUAGAGUAGGACAGAAGGGUUCUAAAGGGAACCAGGGUCCCAUCGGUUCUAUCGGAGAUACAGGUCCUGCUGGCCCUCCUGGACCUCCUGUGAGUUACACCUAGUACAUCUGCUUAGAACCUAGAACUUCACCUAGAACCU